rnacentral:rRNA from 1 species
UACGGGGGGAGCAAGCGUUGUUCGGAUUUACUGGGCGUAAAGGGCGCGUAGGCGGCUUGCCAAGUCACUUGUGAAAUCUCUGGGCUUAACCCAGAACGGCCAAGUGAAACUGGCAUGCUAGAGUGCAGAAGGGGCAAUCGGAAUUCUUGGUGUAGCGGUGAAAUGCGUAGAUAUCAAGAGGAACACCUGAGGUGAAGACGGGUUGCUGGGCUGACACUGACGCUGAGGCGCGAAAGCCAGGGGAGCAAACGGG